rnacentral:rRNA from 1 species
ACGGAAGGCAGCAGUGAGGAAUAUUGGUCAAUGGACGAGAGUCUGAACCAGCCAAGUAGCGUGCAGGAUGACGGCCCUCCGGGUUGUAAACUGCUUUUAGUUGGGAAUAAAAAAGGGAACGUGUUCCCUAUUGUAUGUACCAUCAGAAAAAGGACCGGCUAAUUCCGUGCCAGCAGCCGCGGUAAUACGGAAGGUCCGGGCGUUAUCCGGAUUUAUUGGGUUUAAAGGGAGCGUAGGCGGGCCUUUAAGUCAGUGGUAAAAGCGUGUGGCUCAACCAUACCACGCCAUUGAAACUGGAGGCCUUGAGUGCACACAGGGAUGCUGGAAUUCGUCGUGUAGCGGUGAAAUGCUUAGAUAUCACGAAGAACUCCGAUUGCGAAGGCAGCUGGCGGUACCGUUACCGACGCUCAUGCUCGAAAGUGUGGGUAUCGAACAGGAUUAGAUACCCUGGUA